rnacentral:rRNA from 1 species
UACGUAGGGUGCAAGCGUUGUCCGGAAUUAUUGGGCGUAAAGAGCUCGUAGGCGGUUUGUCGCGUCUGCUGUGAAAACCCGAGGCUCAACCUCGGGCCUGCAGUGGGUACGGGCAGACUAGAGUGCGGUAGGGGAGAUUGGAAUUCCUGGUGUAGCGGUGGAAUGCGCAGAUAUCUGGAGGAAUACCGGUGGCGAAGGCGGCAUCCUGGACCGGCAUUGACGCUGAUGAGCGAAAGCUAGGGGAGCAAACGGG